GCCGGGUGUGGUGGCGUGUGCCUGUAAUCCCAGCUACUUGGGAGGCUGAGGCAGAAGAAUUGCUUGAACCUGGGAGGUGGAGGUUGCAGUGAGCAGAGAUUGUGCCAUUGCAUUCCAGCCUGGGUGACAGAGUGAGACUCUGUCUCAA
rnacentral:sRNA from 1 species